CUUGAUCAAAUCAAAUGUAAACUUUUUUAAAAAGAGCAAUCUACAAAAAAUGCGUUUUAUAUUUGCCUUCAAUUUUUUUCAAGGCGGUACAGAUAUAGAAAACCGUUUCUAACCACGUUGCAUUUUCGAGGGCAGCUCAUGCGGACCCACAUGUCAGCCUGUCGAGAUGAUCCGUACCUCCCUGAAUCAGUGGCUCCCUUCCCUGGCGCGCGAGUGGCGAGCGUGCGCACAAGCCAGCCAGCGAUGCCGCUCGUCUUCCCCGCCACGCCGCCACUGCCGCUGUGCCCCGCCGCGCGCCGCGCCACGGCUGCCGUGGCGUCCGCGGCCAGGAGCUCCUCCUCCUCGUCGUCCUCGGCCUCGUUCGACGCGGCCGCCUUCGAGGCCGAGCGGCUCCGCCUGGACGCCGCGGCGCGGGCCGGGAUGGAGUCCACCGCCAGGGCCGCGGCGGCGGAGGCGAACCCGCGGGCCUGGAAGUGGGCGAUACGGAAGCGGGUGUGGGACGCGCUCGAGGCCGAGGGCGUCGCGCGGGACCCGCGCCCCGUCCACCACCGCAUCCCCAACUUCGACGGCGCCCCCGCCGCCGCAGACGCGUUGGGGAGGCUUGACAUAUUUCAGAAUUCCCAGUGUGUAAAGGUCAAUCCUGACACACCUCAGAAGCAAGUUCGGUUCUUAACACUGUCAGGUGAUAAAAAGUUGUUGACUCCUCAACCUCGGUUAAGGACAGGAUUUUUCUCAGUUAUGGACUCUCAAAUGAUACCCGUUGGGUGCAUUCCUGAAGCAUGCACUUCUGUUGGUGCAGCUAAAUAUGGGAGGCCAAUAGGUUUAGAUGAAAGUCUUAAGGUGGAUUUGAUUGUGAUUGGAUCAGUGGCAGUUGAUCCAAGUUCAGGAGCACGGUUAGGGAAGGGGGAGGGAUUUGCAGAGCUGGAAUACGGAAUGCUUCGUUAUAUGGGAGCUAUAGAUGAUUCAACCAUGAUAGUAACUACUGUGCAUGACAAGCAGUUAGUGGAUGACAUUCCAGUGGAGAAGCUGCUAGUUCAUGAUGUGCCAGUUGACGUUAUCUGCACCCCAACUCAGGUCAUCUUCACAAAGACUACAAUCCCAAAGCCACAAGGGAUUUACUGGGAGAAGUUGUCUCCAGAAAAGUUGGGCCAAAUCCGAAUUCUAAGAGAGCUGAAGCAACGCAUAGAGCAAGAGACAGGAACUAUACUUCCUUGUGGGCCUUCAGAGAAGCUACCGCCAACAGCUCAGAGAAGGCAGAGGUGGCGGCGGCGACGAUGAGACUUUUAAGUGAUUUGGGGAACUACUGGAUUCUAUAUGGACAGCAUAGCAACCAACCUUAGGAAGUCUGGCAUGGAAAAAUACAGCGAAUCGCAUAAUUGGGUUACUACUACCACAGCUGCCCAUCAUCAGCCCACAACUUUAUCGUGAAGAAGGUGCUCAACGUCAGGUGGUAGGAGCAAGCAUCACCUAAAAGUUUAAAUGAGGGAGCAAAAUAUUCCAAACCACUCCAAUCCUAUGUUCAAAACACUUUGUCCGAAUUUCACAUGCACUCUUCAGCAUGAAGCCAACAUUCUUUGGAAUUGGAAGUUCAAACUGCAUCCCAGUCUUUGUAAGUUCUCAGAAAAUCAAUGCUGCUCGUGUGCAAAGAGGACAGAAGGUCAUCAGGCAUGUAUUUUCGAUCUGCCAUUGUAUAACUUGCAGCAUUGCAGGAGUCGUAUACGUGACGAUGUAGACAUGUAGUUGAAACUUGAAAGUGUAAGUUGGCCGUUAUCUGUAAUUCUGUAAACAAACAGAAGGAACUGUUAUACAUACAGUUGGGAUACUUUAUCUUUCUGGAUAAUCAUGUUGUCAAAGUUUGAAUUCGAAACUGUCAUCAUAA